rfam:Gossypium hirsutum cultivar TM-1 unplaced genomic scaffold scaffold2101.1, whole genome shotgun sequence
UAUUAAAAAUUUCAUUCAUUUCUACUGUUAAAAUUUGACAUUAUUAAUAGAAUAACCAAACAAUUACACAUGAUAUGCCACGCGUACCUCAUUUGAUAUACAAGAACCAACUUUCAACAGUAAAAACAGAUGUAAUUUUUAAUA